rnacentral:rRNA from 1 species
CUACGGGCCGCACCAGUGGGGAAUAUUGCACAAUGGGCGCAAGCCUGAUGCAGCCAUGCCGCGUGUAUGAAGAAGGCCUUCGGGUUGUAAAGUACUUUCAGCGGGGAGGAAGGGAGUAAAGUUAAUACCUUUGCUCAUUGACGUUACCCGCAGAAGAAGCACCGGCUAAAGCCGUGCCAGCAGCCGCGGUAAUACGGAGGGUGCAAGCGUUAAUCGGAAUUACUGGGCGUAAAGCGCACGCAGGCGGUUUGUUAAGUCAGAUGUGGAAUCCCCGGGCUCAACCUGGGAACUGCAUCUGAUACUGGCAAGCUUGAGUCUCGUAGAGGGGGGUAGAAUUCCAGGUGUAGCGGUGAAAUGCGUAGAGAUCUGGAGGAAUACCGGUGGCGAAGGCGGCCCCCUGGACGAAGACUGACGCUCAGGUGCGAAAGCGUGGGGAGCAAACAGGAUUAGAUACCCCCGUAGUC